AAAUCAAGUGAUGAGAUUGGAUCUAAAAUUCUCACGACGGUCGUCUGAUUCUAAUGAUGUACCGAUCCUAAUACUCUCUGAUGAUA
rnacentral:snoRNA from 1 species